UACGGGGGGGCAAGCGUUGUUCGGAAUUACUGGGCGUAAAGGGCUCGUAGGCGGCCAACUAAGUCAUACGUGAAAUCCCUCGGCUUAACCGGGGAACUGCGUCUGAUACUGGAUGGCUUGAGUUCGGGAGAGGGAUGCGGAAUUCCAGGUGUAGCGGUGAAAUGCGUAGAUAUCUGGAGGAACACCGGUGGCGAAGGCGGCAUCCUGGACCGAUACUGACGCUGAUGAGCGAAAGCCAGGGGAGCAAACGGGG
rnacentral:rRNA from 1 species